rnacentral:lncRNA from 1 species
UGUGGGGAGGCAUACAGCUCUAAUCACGUUCAGAAUCUAAUUGCGCCAUGGUACCUACCAAUUUCCAUUAAAUCAACUCAUGAGUUGAAUCAAAUAGUUCCCAGUAAUGUGCAGAAAUGUAAACCCGUCGCUGCUGUGGGGAAACCUUUGGGAUGUGUGCACCCAGCACGCCAGCGACCUCCCUUGAAGUCAGUCCUACCUGCCCUCCAGGCAAUGGCGGAUGAAACAGAAGGGAAGCAGAGGCAGCUAUAACUAGACACAAGAGACGCUGAGAAUUUGUGUUCUAGUCAUUUUCUUCCUCGCUGGGACACAGUACCAGAUACUAACAAAUUAGGUCAAGUUUAUUAUUUGGCCCACAGUUUGUGAGGUGCCAGUCCAUAGUUGGCCGGAUCCAAGGAAGGGCGGCAUGGCAACCAGGCUUGCUGGAGGAGGCUGCCGACAGCCUGGAGGACGGGAAGCGGAGAGAGUGCGGUGAGGCGCUGAGGACGGGCUUAAACCCUCCAGGCCACGCCCCAGUGACCUGCCUCUUCCAACCACGCCCCACCUAACACGAGUAAACCCUAAGCCCUGAUGAUCAGGCAACUUCCGAAAGCCCUUCCUUUGAGCGCGUGAGGCUUGGGGGACUUCUAGCUAGAGAGCGUAGCCCUUUGAUUGGAGCUUUUGGUACUUGCAGUGUAAAGAGCCUUUAUUGGAAGGAUUUGCCAAGUGAUACUUUUAAAAAAAACUUAAGUACUGG